rnacentral:rRNA from 1 species
UACGUAGGUGACAAGCGUUGUCCGGAUUUACUGGGCGUAAAGGGCGCGUAGGCGGGAUGGCAAGUCGGUCGUGAAAUCCUUCGGCUCAACCGAAGAACGUCGGCCGAUACUGCCGUUCUUGAGGGAUGCAGAGGAGAUUGGAAUUCCCGGUGUAGCGGUGAAAUGUGUAGAGAUCGGGAGGAACACCGGUGGCGAAGGCGGGUCUCUGGGCAUCUCCUGACGCUGAGGCGCGAAAGCGUGGGGAGCAAACGGG